CUGGCGGCGUGCCUAAUACAUGCAAGUCGAACGGUCUUUCUAUGGAAGCUUGCUUCCACUGAGAAGAUAGUGGCGAACGGGUGAGUAACACGUGGGUAACCUGCCCAUAAGAGGGGGGAUAACAUCCGGAAACGGGUGCUAAUACCGCAUAGUUUUCUUGAUCGCAUGAUCGGGAAAGGAAAGACGGCCUUUGUGCUGUCGCUUAUGGAUGGACCCGCGGCGUAUUAGUUAGUUGGUGAGGUAACGGCUCACCAAGACGAUGAUACGUAGCCGACCUGAGAGGGUGAUCGGCCACAUUGGGACUGAGACACGGCCCAAACUCCUACGGGAGGCAGCAGUAGGGAAUCUUCCGCAAUGGACGAAAGUCUGACGGAGCAACGCCGCGCGAGUGAAAGAAGGUUUUCGGAUCGUAAAACUCUGUUGUCAGAGAAGAACAAGUUGGAGAGUAACUGCUCCAGCCUUGACGGUAUCUGACCAGAAAGCCACGGCUAACUACGUGCCAGCCGCCGC
rnacentral:rRNA from 1 species